AACAAUCGAGAGAUAGAAAACAACAAAUCCAAACACUUUCAAUACAAAUUAUAGAAGUUUUGAAGGUAUAUCGAUGGCUCAAUACAAUCCCAGAUGUAGAAAUCAGCUGUGAAUCAAUCGGGAAGCAAACACCGAUAAGCCCCAAAAAAAUUCAAAAUCGGUUACAUAUAAAACAUCAUCUGACUUGAAAUCUAAAUCUCCAUGGAGGAGAAAAAGGGAAAUUGAGAUUAGUAGUACCUGAGAUGAUUGAGAGAUUCGUAGAGGAAGAUUGAAAUGAAAAAGCGUGUGCCGAUUCUUUUAAGGAACCAGCGGAGAGCACACGCACUUGAUAGUUAUGCUUUGCGCAAAAUGAAGAAAGACAACAAAAAAGAAGCAAAUUUAGGGUUUUCUGAAUUACUCUGUUUUCGUUUGACCCGAUUCGCUUUUUAUUGGGCUUGGGUCGGUCACAGU
rnacentral:lncRNA from 1 species